rnacentral:lncRNA from 1 species
CUGAGUUUUUAUCGUAGGCUCACUCUUCCUCUGCAGCAGCCAGGCUUGCAGAACAGGAUCUGGAAGUCUUGUGGGGGAACAGGAAAGAGAAUGUAAUUCCAGUGCCUUCGUAGCUCUCCCAUGCCUUUAAACAGAUUUCUUAAAUGCUUAAUCCAGCUUUUAAAGUUAUCCUCAGCAGGUAAAUUGGUCUGAUAGAAGCUAGUCUACUUUAGCCAGAAACAGAAGCAUGUGGGUGUUGGGCUUAUUCCCGAGGUUGCCCUCCGCCCUGGUUAAUUGGGAUCUGGGAGUGUGCAGGGGUGAGGUGUUGAGGCUGCUCAGCUGUUGUAAUUCAAUUUGCACCACCAUUUCAUCUGGUGGACUGUGGCCUCCUGUGGCUGCUGUUGCUCCCUGGAAAUCUGGGCCAGCCCUCUUCCCAGCACCCGCAUCCUCAGGAACCUCCCACAUCACUCUUACUCAUCGCCGGCUGGGGCUUAUUCACUACCUUGGGA